CCGAACCACUGUAACCAGUCGAAAACAAUCAAUACCAGAAAAGGCACCCGCAUCUCUACAACGGUGGAAGAUCAGUAGACGUAAUAUUUAAUAAAGAGAUUUAGGUUCAGAUCUUUUCUAAUUAGUCACAUAUAUCUGAUGUAAUGACUAAUCUGGUUUGGGUCAGUAUAUUUUAUGUCUGACUAACCUAGUUGGCAUGGGUAAACUCAGGUCAACAAGUAACCUACUACAAAACAUAAUCUUCGAAAAUAGCCAGAUAAGUGAAGAUGAGUGGGGGUCCCCCCAUUACUUUCCUUAGAUAUCAAUGAAUUAGCCAGGUCAGACAACGGAACCAAUUAAAGAACUACCAUCUAAGACUUGCCUUAGACAUCAAAUUGGUUGAUUAAAAUCAAUUAGGUUAACCUAUA
rnacentral:lncRNA from 1 species